CGGCGCUCGUACGCAGGCGCCAGCCAGACUCGUCGGCCGUGCUGGCGGUGGCGUGGAGACGAGACGCCACCGUCGUGCAACCUGGGCAUGGGGAGCCAGUGGACCUGAUGCACUCCAGGCGGCGGAGUGGGCGAGGGCGAGGCGAGGAGAUGGUCUCGUCGGCGUCCAGCCGCCGGGCGAUUACGACGAGCCGGAUCACUUCAUCAACCCCGUCUUAAAUCUAAAGGCCUCCUCCGUUGGCUGGAAACUGGGAAGAGCGCCAGGAUCCAGGCCCGCCUUCGCCCGCCCGCCAGGUGCUUGCGUUUAUUCCCAUUCCGUCCCACUGCGUCAUGAACUCCUGAAUCGUGAUACGUCCCUAGCUGGAUGGAUUAGCCAGCUAAUGAGAAGUGCCGGAGUGCUUGACCUCGAUUAUAAGUAGGAUGGGAAUUGUAGAGCAUGCUUCUUUCAUCACCAAUUCUCAACAGAGCUGUUCGGGUUCGAGAUUUGGAUUCUCUCACUGGUGAGUGCAUACUGUAGUAGGGCGGGAAGAGCUAAAGGGAAGGAAGGUUUGAUUGAUGAGCUGCACUGGGCGUACUUGAGCAUUUAGGAGUAGCACAUUAUGCAUGAAUAUUACGGAGCUGCAAUGGCGACGGCCUCUAUUAUUAUUAGUAUUCAUCUAUAUGAUUCAGGGAUGGCAAAAAGAGAUAAUGGAGCUAUGGAGUUAUUAUUGACUUCAGAGGAGCCGUGUUGAUAGGGAUGUAAGUGGACUGCGUCCGCAUGUCGGCAAACAGAAAAAUUAAGCGAAUUGGUGCAAUUUUUUGCUUCACGGACAGAUGGGGACGGCGCGGCCGCGCGGACACGUCUGCCUGCAUCCCUAGUUCCCUACGCGUUGAUGAACAGUAAGAAGACGACUUCCGACGACUUGAGGUGCUAAUGGUAUGGGCGUGUCGGAAAACUUAGCUUUCUCUAAUCCAUCCAGACCAUCCAAUAGUUCUUCAAGCCAUCAAGACUGUCCAAUUAUCUGUGUGAAUUGAGUGGCAGGCAGCUGCGCAUCCUUUUCCUCACCACUACCUCUCCUCUACUUCCAAUAAGAUGGAGAUGGAGCUCUCUUCAACCGAUUACUGAGUGAGAGCCGGAGACAGCAGGCAAAAGCCAGAGAUGGGUACCUCAGGUGCUGUGGAAUGGUGGGAGGAGUGGCAGCUGCGUGUCCUCGUCCUGGGCAGCCUCUUCGUCCAGUGGCUCCUCUUCCUCUCCGCUGCCUACCGUAAGCAUGCUAUCCCUUCCUGGUUCAGAUCCAUAAUAUGGCUUGCAUACCUAGGCAGUGAUGCCCUGGCAAUAUACGCCCUUGCCAUCCUUUUCGGACGCCAGAGGAGGCAGGAUUGUAGCUCUGGGCAGGGCAAUAGUAUACUGGAGGUGGUGUGGGCGCCGGUUCUCCUGACACACCUCGGUGGACAGGACUGUAUAUCUGCCUACAACAUUGAAGACAACGAGCUAUGGACACGGCAUGUCGUCACGGCCGUGUCCCAGAUCACCGUAGCCAUCUACGUGUUCUGCAAAUCGUGGACAGGCGGCGACAAGAGGUUGUUGCAGGCAGCAAUCUUGUUCUUUGUCCCCGGGAUCCUCAAAUGCAUAGAGAAGCCCUGGGCUCUCAAGAGCGCUAGCAUUAACAGUCUAGUCAGCCCUGCUCCGAGGAGGACCACAAACAGAGAAAGCAGGAUCAACUCGCUUGAAGACUAUGUGGAGAUGGCAAGGGCUUUUGUCCAGACCAACCCUCGUCGUCAAGCACAAGAAAGUGAUGGAGUUCACCUUCAGGCUGACACCCAUGUGCCUCAAGCACAAGGAGAAGAUGAAGCACUGGACCUUGAGGCCGAUCAUCAACCUGGAGCACAAGGAGAAGCUGCUGUGAUGGAUCUUGAGUCUGACAGCCACCUUCAGACAUCAAGCAUAUGGAGAAGUUGCCUAAACCAAAUAAACGUAAAAAUGAGAAGCCUCGGAAACCAAGAAAGGGAACAAAGAAGCCGACUCGAUGACUAUAAUAUGGACCUUGGGGCCUAUAAGCUAUUUCUGGACCUUGCAUCACCGUAUUCUGAUCGAGUUGGUAUCCUAAAAUCCUUCUGGGUGCUCGAGGGAAAACAAGCAUAUGCUUUGUUGCAAAAUAAACUAUUUGGAGCAUUUGAUCUUCUCUACACUAAAAGAAAGAUGUUCAUCUUAUGGGAUGAGAGAAGCAAGGUAAACGUAAGUAUCUUGGGGCUUCUUUCUAGCUGGUUACGGGUUUCAGCUCUGCUUCUGCCAUGGGCUGCCAUCGGCCUCUUCCACAAUAGUCACAGUGAAGCUUAUAAUGCUGACGAUGUCAAGGUUACAUAUGCCUUAUUCUACUGUACAGCCGUGCUGGAGUUUUUCAGUAUUUCUUUGAUGAGAGAAAGUAUUGCAAAGGGUCAAGUGAAAUUCAAUUUGGAAUCUCUGGUUGCUGGCCUUAUUGGUAGCCUACUAAGUGCUCCGAGUAAUGAGGUACUGGAAACUAGCUUUGUAGGCCAAUAUACACUGGUAGGAUUCUUUGCUCGCAACAAAAGGCACAUCAAGAAGAUGUGCAUCGUGAACUUCUUCAAUUGCAAGGACUUUCUUGACCAACAUUGGUCCAUGAAGCCCUGCGACGCAUCUUUUGCCGUCACAGAGUUGGUUCUUAAGUAUGUGAAGAACGGGUGGGAAGAUCAAAUGAAGGAUGUUGACAGUUAUUGGAAGUUCAAUGACCGCAGAGGCCUAUGGACACUUCAGGCCAACAAGUGCGAGCAAGACCUCGGUUGCAGCAUAAGGAGGCCAUUCGACGAGAGCAUCCUUCUCUGGCACAUCGCCACGGAUUUCUGCUUCUACUUCAUGGGAGCAUCAGCAGAUCACCGGUGUGCCACUGCUCAAUGUAUUCAAGAUGCAUCUGGUGAUGGCCAUGGGUGUGCUGUUUGGUGUGAAAGAUCUCCUCAUCACAAAAGAGCCAUCCGGUGCAGGGAAAUGUCCAAUUACAUGAUAUAUCUACUGUUUGUCAAUCCUGAGAUGCUACUGGCCGGCACCAGAAGACAUCUUUUUAUGACCGCUAAUGCUGAAGUUGAGGAGAUCCUCAUGGAUGAGAAGCCAUCGCUCAAGAAGAUUUUCAAGGCCAAAAGUCCAUGGCUCAUGGACAUCCUAAAAGGAGAAAAGCAAUGGCUUAAAGACAUCCUGACGGAAGAAAAGCAACGGCUGAAAGACAUUUUCAGUAGCGAAGAUUCACUUCCAUGGAAGGUUCUCAAGGGCGUGUCGAAGUGGAUCCUCAGCAGCAAAGGCUCACUUUACUGGAAGGUUAGCAACGGCCUGUCCAAGGAGGUCCUCAAGGCUGAAAAGGAAUGGCUUGAGAAGAUUGAAAGAGAACUCGUGCAGAUAAUAAUCUCCAGGGUGCAGCCCACAGAAUGCAGAGAGGUUUCUGAAUGCACAGAAUUGCCGCCGGAUGCAGAGAUGUAUCCAACUACGCAAUUUAUCCAUGAUGCAUGGAAGCUCGCUAAAGCGUUGUUGGAUCUAGGUGAUGACAACAAGAUGUGGGGAGUUAUUGAAGGCGUGUGGGUGGAGAUGCUCUGCUUCUCUGCAAGUAGAGGCCGUGGGUACCUACAUGCCAAGAGUUUGGGCACCGGUGAGGAGCUUCUCACGUAUGUGUGGCUCCUGCUGUCCUGCAUGGGGAUGGAGACCUUGCCGGAGAGGCUGCAGAGGACGGACCUUUCAAGUGGGGAAGGAAACGCCGGUGCUGCUCCGUCGACUUCACAGACAUAUGGGAUCCAGUAUCCAGCACGCUUCGGGCGCUUAAGAUCACAUGAAGAAGAAGCUGCAGCUGCUGGCGCAUCUACCUCUCAUCCCCAAGAAAUACUACCAGCUGAUUAGUCUGAGAAAUUAUUAUCUCUGUAUUGAUUAUGCAUCGAGAUAACCUCAUGCCUAUUACCCAUCUGCCGAUACUUUGGGAGGGGAUGUUAUGAAAAAAAGUUGCUGCUGCUGCUGCCGCAUCUGCCUCUCGACCCCAAGAAGUACUAGCUGAAAUAAUCUGAGAAAGGAAAUAAUCCUGUGUCUGUAUCAGCCAUCUGCCGUUUGAUACCUUCAUUUUCUUGGUCUGAAGCUACACUUUUGUGCAGACCUUAAUGAUGCACUACAUUAUGUUCGUG